UACGGAGGGUGCGAGCGUUGUCCGGAAUCACUGGGCGUAAAGGGCGCGUAGGCGGCCUGGUAAGUAGGGGGUGAAAUCCUGCGGCUUAACCGCAGGGCUGCCUUCUAAACUGUCAGGCUCGAGCACGGUAGAGGCAGAUGGAAUUCCCGGUGUAGCGGUGGAAUGCGUAGAGAUCGGGAAGAACAUCAGUGGCGAAGGCGGUCUGCUGGGCCGUUGCUGACGCUGAGGCGCGACAGCGUGGGGAGCAAACG
rnacentral:rRNA from 1 species